rnacentral:rRNA from 1 species
UACGUAGGGUGCAAACGUUGCUCGGAAUCAUUGGGCGUAAAGCGCACGUAGGCGGCUUUGCAAGUCGGACGUGAAAUCCCUCAGCUCAACUGAGGACGUGCAUCCGAAACUGCAAGGCUUGAGUACUGAAGAGGAUCGCGGAAUUCCCGGUGUAGAGGUGAAAUUCGUAGAUAUCGGGAGGAACACCAGUGGCGAAGGCGGCGAUCUGGGCAGAUACUGACGCUGAGGUGCGAAAGCGUGGGGAGCAAACAGG